rnacentral:rRNA from 1 species
CACUAUCGUUAACUGAAUACAUAGGUUAACGAGGCGAACCGGGGGAACUGAAACAUCUAAGUACCCCGAGGAAAAGAAAUCAACCGAGAUUCCCCAGUAGCGGCGAGCGAACGGGGAGCAGCCCAGAGUCUGAAUCAGCUUGUGUGUUAGUGGAACGGUCUGGAAAGUCCGACGGUACAGGGUGAUAGUCCCGUACACCAAAAUGCACAGGUUGUGAACUCGAAGAGUAGGGCGGGACACGUGGUAUCCUGUCUGAAUAUGGGGGGACCAUCCUCCAAGGCUAAAUACUCCUGACUGACCGAUAGUGAACCAGUACCGUGAGGGAAAGGCGAAAAGAACCCCGGCGAGGGGAGUGAAAA